rnacentral:rRNA from 1 species
GUCUAUGGCCAUGCUACCCUGAACAAGCCUGAUCCCGUCUGAUCUUGGAAGCUAAGCAGGGUCGGGCCUGGUUAGUACUUGGAUGGGAGACCACCAAAGAGGACCAGGUGCUGUAGGCA